GCAGGAAGUAGAGGUGGAACAACGGGAAUUCCAGGAAGAGGAAAGUUCUUUCUGCAGUUGUGGCCCAGCCUCAGGAAGCAAGAUGUGACUGUCUUGCUGAAAAAGAUAAAUGUAGUCCUCACCGAGGGGUGUCACAUUGAAGGAAACAUGAAGGAAACGUCACAUGGCAGCAGACAGAAACCAUUACAGAAAACCACAACCAAGCAGAAUGCAGAAUGCAGAGCUGUGGAACCCAGUCCCAGUGGAUACAUCUACAAAACACUCCCGCGCCAUAAUAAUGUUCAGAGAACAGGACGGAAGAAGGGGUGGAAUGACUGUAAGAGCCGGAGGAUUGGGGAGUGUGCUGUGAGAUUGUGACUCCUAGUGAUCUCAGAAGCUACACCCAUGAAGUCCAGUCAAUAUGAGUGCCCAAACACGAGCUGAACAAGAAUGACACCAACAAACACACCACAC